CGAGUUUCUUACGCCGGUUCUUCUCGCCGGGUUACGUAUUGCCAAACUGUAUACUGACCCAGACCGGGGUUGCUCUGAGUUCGAUCGCAGUUUGCCUUUAUAGUUGAAGAGCAAACUGUAUACCUAUUCAGAGCGUGUCUGAAUCGAAAUACAUUUUGCUUUAAAAUACUUGAGCAAAAUACAUACGAGUCCAGACGUCCAUACUUUUCGGCGUCUGGUGUAGUAUGUAA